AAAAGGAAUUGGACAUGGGAAGACAUUCAGCAGUACAAAUGAUAGCGACCAAUCAGCUUCAAAGUCAUUAACUCAUGUUUAUGAUGGUACUAUUUCACCACUGGCGAACCUUUCAUCUAUCUUAUUUAGAAACUACGAUUCUGGUGUCCGCCCUUAUUGUCCAGGGGAGGAAGAAAUAAUCGAUUUGUCAGUGGAUUUAGCUGUCCGUCAACUUAUUGACCUUGAUGAACCAAAUCAGUUUAUCACAAUGAAUAUUUGGAUGCGCUUGGUAUGUACAC